rnacentral:rRNA from 1 species
CCUACGGGUGGCAGCAGUGGGGGAUAUUGCACAAUGGGGGGAACCCUGAUGCAGCGACGCCGCGUGGGUGAAGGAGCGUUUCGGCGCGUAAAGCCCUAUCGGCAGGGAAGAAGAUGACGGUACCUGACCAAGAAGCCCCGGCCAACUACUUGCCAGCAGCCGCGGUAACACGUAGGGGGCAAGCGUUAUCCGGGUUUAAUGGGGGGAAAGGGGGCGCAGACGGCAAUGCAAGCCAGGAGGUAAAGCCCUGGGGCCAACCCCGGGACUGCUCUUGGAACUGGAUGGCUGGAGUACAGGAGGGGCAGGCGGAAUUCCUAGUGUAGCGGUGAAAUGCGUAGAUAUUAGGAGGAACACCGGUGGCGAAGGCGGCCUGCUGGACUGUGACUGACGUUGAGGCCCGAAGGCGUGGGGAGCAAACAGGAUUAGAUACCCGGGUAGUC